ensembl:rRNA 5S_rRNA 5S ribosomal RNA
GUCUACAGCCGUACCACCCUGAACGCGCCCGAUCUCGUCUGAUCUUGGAAGCUAAGCAAGGCUGGGCCUGGUUAGUACUUGGAUGGGAGAAAGGUGGCCCAAGGGCAUGGAGACA